rnacentral:rRNA from 1 species
CCUANGGGUGGCUGCAGUCGAGAAUCUUCGGCAAUGGGCGAAAGCCUGACCGAGCGACGCCGCGUGCGGGAUGAAGGCCUUCGGGUUGUAAACCGCUGUCGUAGAGGAGGAAAUGCGAUGGGGUUCUCCCCAUUGUUUGACCUAUUCUAGGAGGAAGGACGGGCUAAGUUCGUGCCAGCAGCCGCGGUAAGACGAACCGUCCAAACGUUAUUCGGAAUUAUUGGGCUUAAAGGGUGCGUAGGCUGUGCAGUAAGUUGGGUGUGAAAUCCCUCGGCUCAACCGAGGAACUGCGCCGAAUACUGCUGUGCUAGAGGGAGAUAGGGGUAAGCGGAACUGAUGGUGGAGCGGUGAAAUGCGUUGAUAUCAUCAGGAACACCGGUGGCGAAGGCGGCUUACUGGAUCUCUUCUGACGCUGAUGCACGAAAGCUAGGGGAGCGAACGGGAUUAGAUACCCCGNUANUC